rnacentral:rRNA from 1 species
GACGAACGCUGGCGGCGUGCUUAACACAUGCAAGUCGAGCGGUAAGGCCCUUUCGGGGUACGACGAGCGGCGAACGGGUAGGAGUAACAACGUGGGUGGACCUCGCCCUCCAGCUCUGGGAGUAAGACCUCGGGAAACCGGGGUACCGUAAUAACUGGAGUAUGACUCCAUGACGCAUGUUGUGGGGUGGGAAAGACCUUGUGCGGC